GCGAGUGUAGCUCAGUUGGUAGAGCGCGACCUUGCCAAGGUCGAGGUCACGAGUUCGAGCCUCGUUACUCGCUCCA
rnacentral:tRNA from 1 species